rnacentral:rRNA from 1 species
AAAGGAAUUGACGGGGGCCCGCACAAGCGGAGGAACAUGUGGUUUAAUUCGAUGAUACGCGAGGAACCUUACCUGGGCUUGAAUGUAUUUUGCAUAAACUGGAAACGGUUUUUUACUUUCGGGUACUAAAUACAAGGUGCUGCAUGGUUGUCGUCAGCUCGUGCCGUGAGGUGUCGGGUUAAGUCCCAUAACGAGCGCAACCCUCAUUGCCAGUUGCCAUCACGUAAAGGUGGGGACUCUGGCGAGACUGCCGGUGCAAACCGUGAGGAAGGUGGGGAUGACGUCAAAUCAGCACGGCCCUUAUGUCCAGGGCUACACACGUGUUACAAUGGUCAAUACAAAGGGCAGCAACUUGGCAACAAGUAGCCAAUCCUAAAAGUUGAUCUUAGUUCGGAUCGGAGUCUGCAACUCGACUCCGUGAAGCUGGAUUCGCUAGUAAUCGUAGAUCAGCAACGCUACGGUGAAUACGUUCCCGGGCCUUGUACACACCGCCCGU